AUAGUGUCUAAGCUUGUCCGAUAAGUUGGACGAGAAAUAUUUUUCGUCACAGUUAAAAUCAGGAAACCAGCUAACAUGAACGAUGCAGGUGAUAACGUGAGUACUACAUAGAAUUGGAAUAGUUUACAAAGAUGUAUGAAUAAUUUCAGUUAUUGGCGAUUCUGAUUAUUUCAUGAGCGUAUUCGAGUAGAAAUGAGAUACCUUAGGGGAAACAUAAAACGUUUCAUUGUUACUGUCUUAUAAGUGAAUGCGUAGCAUAGCUAUGGCUUCUAGAGAAAAAUAAUAGUAAUCUGCAGAAAUGCACUUCUGUUGAAAAUUAUCGGUAAAAAUGUUUAAAAUAUUCGGCCUAGUCAGUUCAAAAUGCGUAGUAGGGGGAUACCAGGAUUAAUAUUACUGUUUCAGCUAAGUUUUCUAGAAAAGUGCUUUGAAUUACUAUAAUAAACUGUAGAUCUGGGUAUGUGUAGCCUAUUUAUUACACACUUAAGCCUCCCGUUAAUUGUCAGGUAGAUGAUAGUCUUUAUUAUAUGAAUGACAUAUCCUUCUGUUUUCCCUUAGUCUUUAUACUAAUUCGAAGCAUCAAUGUUAUAGAAGGAACACAUAACACAGUUUUCUAUCACCCUGUCACCCAUGUUUUGUAAAUCAUAUUUAGUCGCUUCGAUACUUCGUCAGCAUGUCAAUGGCAGCUGACUUUAACGCCACCGUUUGGAAAAGACCGAUAACUCUUUUAAAACGUCCCUAGAUCUAUAGUGGUAGCGUGGUCAAAAAAGAUAGUAAUUCAUAAUUCACUACCACUAUCGAGUGCUCAUCUGUAUAGGUGUAUAUCUGCUUGUCAACUUCUUGUCAAAUGUUCAUUUUUAUUUCUAUUCAAUAUCAUUUCAGUCUCAUUUUCUUUAUAUGCAGUAUUCACCGCGGUAAUUUUGAUAUUUAAUGUGACCUUGAAGUCGCCCCUAAUGCGUAAAGACAUUUAAACUAAGAAAAUCAAUGUGUAUAAACAACGACUUAGCGCAUGUAAGAGACGAGAAUCGUAUGUUGAUACUUUGUGUGAAACCAGUAGAAGAAACUUACAUUUCUACGAGUCUUGGUUGCGCCGAAGCGAUUUAUUUCAAGAAUUUAGAAUGUAUAAAAACCCGGUUACUCGAUCAAUGCGAUCAUGUUAGAAUGAAAAUAGGACCCUUUACUGCCUAUUGAAUAUUCCUAAUUUCAUCAAACUAAUGACCAUGGGUUUUGUCGAAAAAAUAAACUAAUUUUCGAACUGUCAUUUUUACUAACUUUAUAAAGGUAGGGUAAUCUGUUAACACAGCUACAUGUAUUUGCAUUCGUCAAGUUAUACACAGAAAGUUUUUUUUACAAGUAUGAAGAAGCUAUACAAAGUCAAAGAGAGAGGAUAAGAAGAGAAUCUUUAGAAGAAUUACUACAAAGAAUUGGAAAGGAAGACACACCUUUAAAUAUCGCCAUAAUUGGGAUGCCAGGAUGUGGAAAAUCGUCCUUCAUUAACACAUUGAUCGCCAGCAUCACCGGUGAAUGGAGAAGUUAUGCAAUGGCUGGGUCUUUUGGUGGAAUGGGAGAGCAUAAAACAAACCAUAUUGCAACGUUGAGUAUUUUUUGCUACGUGUCGAGGUUUCAGUUUUGAAAUGUAUGUAUAAAAAGACGAGGAUAACAAACAGUGAUCAAUCCGUGGUCAAAAUUAAAAAUACAAGAACAGCUUAACAAUAUCCCUUCAGACAGCAUUCGAUCUACAGACAAAUUAAAUCAUUACAAAGAUCAUAGACUUUGCAAAAUCAUUAAUUUAAAAUAAAUUGUUUGAACUCCUGAUAUGUCAUCGUAAUUGGCGGAUCGCCGAUUGUUGUGUAAGCCCCGCCCACCAUGACGACGGUAACUAGCCCGACAUUCGACGCAUAAACAACAUGGCGCGGAUCAUGUCGUUAAAGGACAUCCCAGACGACUUUUCUGCAUCAUACAUAUUACAUACACCGUCCCUUCGGCAAAAACAACAGGCUGUUGCGUUUAUGAAGGAUUCUUAUGUUAAAUCAGUCAGAUUAUAUACACAAGAACGCGAAAAUAUGCUAAUAAAAGCCGAAGUAUAUCGGAGUCAGAGAAAAACACAGGACCCACACAAGAUCAACAUUGAUGUCAACUUUGAAGGGAAGAAAUUAGACGAUGCACAUUGCAGUUGCAAAGCUUGGUGUGUAAACGGUUAUUUUGAGUUAUUGAAAUAGUUUUCACUUGUUUAUGAUUUCAAUUUUACGUUUUUGUUUAUUUAAAUUAUUGUUCUUGAAGCGUAUAAAUCUACGUACAUGCAUACAUCAGGUCUAAAUAGAGAGCGUUUGUAAACAACCUCACUAGGAAAAGUUUUGUCAUAUUUCAUUAACGUUGCUCAGUGUUGUUCUUAUUCUUUUUUUCAAAUUUCAUUUGUUGUAUUUUUGUUCCUUUUAGUAACUCGGUGCAUUUUACCAAUGUUUGUGUUUCCAGUUACUUGCUAACUAAAGGGUGCACAUUCCAGGGAGGCAGGUCAAUGUGCACAUGUCCUAGCUGUUAUUAUGAUUCUGGAGCAGUGAAAGAUUUCUGGUUUUGUUGAAAUUCCCUCAAUGCUGUCAUCAACUUCCCUACUUCAACAGUGGGAUAAGCCAAGAGGUGACAAGAUUCAACCAGAACCAGUGUCCCAGAUGAUCAUUUCCAACCCAUCAAACCUAAACAGAAAAAGAAAGCCAAUUGUGGCUUCUUUUGUUGACACACGGAAAACUGAAAUUGGUGAAAUGGAUAUGGAGAUCUUGAAAAAAGUUUAAACAAGCCCCGAUUUCUUAUCUGGUAUCCACAGCAGCAGGACCAACUGUUGACACGCCAUUCGGUGCUCAUUACAUAGAAUAUCCUUUCAGCUAUCAUGCACCAUUGAUUUUACCUAUUACAAAACUCCGUGUAGCAGAAAACUGUGGAAGUACUGUGUUCCCAAAAGCCCUUCAUACCUGCGUUGACCUUGAAUGCAUUCAAACCCUUACACAUGAAUGGACUGAGCUGAAUUUGACACAGAGUGAUGCAAUUAAUUUGGAAAAUCAACAAGAUCUCAAAACCUGAACCAAAUAUGGCAUACAGAACGAAGUAAGAGAAUAACUGCAUCCAAUAUCGGACUAAUCAUAAGAAGGGAAAAAGACGUAAACCAGAAAUUUUUAAAGAACACAUUUCAAAAGAAUGAUUUCACAUCUUCUGCUACAUCAUAUGGUAAAGCGAAUGAACACAUUGCCAAGCAAAUGUACAUUAAGAAAACGGGACACCACCUUUAUGAUAUAGGUUUGAUUGUAAACACAGAACUACCAUUUCUAGGUGCUACUCCUGAUGGCAUAGUGUGUGAUAAGUCUGAAAGUGGCUUGAUUGAAAUUAAAUAUCCUUACUCUGUCAGAGACAAUACCAUCAGUGAAGCAUGUGAAACAAGAAAUGAUUUCUUCCUUCGAAGAAAUGACGACACUUUCAGCUUAAAACAUGAGCAUUCCCACUGGUAUCAAGUUCAAAGACAGCUUCUAGUCACCGGAGCUCCAUUUUGUGACUUCAUUACAUAUACCAAACAAGACUUAUAUGUAGAAAGAGUUUAUCCAAACAUGUCUACCAUGGAUGUGUUAGUUCAGAAACUAGCUAAGUUUUAUGUCCAACAUUUUAAGCCAUUUAUCCAUAAAUAUGAUUCUGAUUUACAUGUAUGAUGUUGAUUUACCACACCAACUAUGAAAACAAGAAUGUGUUUGUACCUGGCAUAAUAUGCCCCCUCCCCUCAUGACAACAAGGAAACAAUAAACACUGAUUCAGUGUGACAGAAAGAUUUGUUUACAGGUCAUUAAUAUCUUUGUAUGGUAGAUAUAUGUAGAGGGUCUUGGAGAUAAAAUUCUGUUUGCUGUCAUACACUUAAAUUUGUAUAUAAAUGUACUAGAUAAUUCAAAUUCAGUUGAGUAAAGUUCUCUUUACACUUUCA